GACAAGAUUGCUGUGUGACGGCGUGUUUAGUAAUUGAACGUCAUCUUGUUCCAAACUUGAUUGCUGCUUGGAGUGGAACAGCUUGGAAUAGUUUAAUAUCCCCAUCUGAGCCCAAGGCAAUGAAUGUCUGGUUGACAAAGAAUCUGGUUACUUUCAGCAUAGAGCGUUUGGGAGGGAGAGCAUUUUUGUAUGCAAAUAAUUGCUUUUGCAGCCAUUGCUGAUCUGGAACCAAAAGAAGUUCAUAAAUAAAACCCUGGUGUUUCUCCGGUUUCCAAUCUUCUAAAGCAAGCAAAAACAAAUGAAAACUCCCACAGAAAAAGAAACUGAUUGAGCAAAGAAUUAUCUUGCCUUCUAAAUCCUUCCUUUCCCAAAAGCGGGACUCUCACUGUGCCAGAGUUAAAGAGAUUGAGCACUGAAGAUGUAUUGGCUUAUCCUCAGGUAUUUAAUCAGUCAGACUAAUGAAAUGAAUUGAGCCAGAGUGAACUGAUUGCCUGUGACAUUUACAAGUCCCCUGAGAGCAUGUGCAUGUGUUUGUGGAUUGACCUCCAUAAUUAUUCUUUAACAUUCAGAGAAAAAGAAAUAAAACUGGGA